UUACAGGGAACUUGACUCACUUCGCCAAAAGGAACUUGACCCAUCCUUGUGUACGACCAAGUGUGAAAACACAUUAUAGUUCACAGGUAGCUUUCCAACUCUUCCCUUUUUUUCGUGCGCAAGACUGUUGCUCUCCCUCGCCCUCGCUCUCUGCUCCGGCCAAGCCACUGUACCAUCUCUGCGUUUCCAUUCUCUGUCUUCUUCAAGCUUUAGUAUUUCCAAACAAAAAAGAAUGGCCUUGCAGACAGAAACUCCUCCAACAGCUCAUAGUGCCCAAUUUGUUGGAAAUGCUUUCGUUGAUCAGUAUUAUAAAAUUCUCCACAACUCUCCAGAAUUGGUCUAUAGGUUUUAUCAAGAUUCAAGUGUGAUCAGCCGUCCUGAUUCUAAUGGUGUGAUGACAUCUGCAACUACCAUGCAAGGUAUCAAUGAAAAGAUCCUUUCCUUUGAUUAUAAGGACUACAUGGUUGACAUAAAGACUGCAGAUGCACAGAAGUCAUACAAAGAAGGGGUGACUGUGCUAGUAACUGGAUGUUUAACGAGCAAGGAUAACUUGAAAAGGAAAUUUGCACAAUCAUUUUUUCUUGCCCCUCAGGACAAUGGGUAUUACGUCUUAAAUGAUGUGUUUAGGUAUGUAGAAGAUGUAGAGCAGUUGGAAAGUGGUGCGGUUAAUGGAGUUGAUGCUGCUGCAGCACCCUCCUUGAUAUCAGAACCUGAGCCAAAUCAUGUUCCUGAUCCUGCUGCACUAGACCCAGCAACUGCUCAUGAGGAUGCAGAUCAAAUUGUUGUUGAGAAGGCCUAUGAUGCAUCAGAGUAUGAGAGCGAAUUAGUCAAUGAAAAAAAGCCUGUUGCAGAAAUCCCAUCUCAUUCUCAAUGGAAUGAUGUCACUGUGGACAUCGAAUCAUCUUCUGCUGCAGCCCUAGAAGAUGCUCCAAAAAAGUCAUAUGCCUCAAUUGUAAAAGUACCAAAAGGGAGUUUAGGACCAACACAAGUUUAUGUGCCAACUAAUUUCUUAAAUGUGUCUUCUAAGAAAGUAGAGAAUCAGCCUGCUGAAUCAGCAGCACCUGCAUCAGUGCCUGAAGCAUCAGCACCAAGUAGCACCGGCACCCCAGACAGUAGCAAUACUAAUGAGGAAGUUGAGGGGCACUCUAUUUACAUACGGAAUUUGCCCUUUAGUGUGACGGAUGCUCAGCUUGAGGCAGAAUUUAAGAAAUUUGGACCAAUAAAGCGAGGAGGUAUCCAAGUCAGAAAUAAUAAGCAGCAAGGAUACUGUUUUGGUUUUGUAGAAUUUCAAUCUUUGAGCUCCAUGAAUAGUGCCAUACAGGCUUCACCUAUCACUAUUGGGGGCCGGCAAGCUGUCAUUGAGAUAAAGAGAACUACCACUAGAGUUGGUGGUGGUGGUGGUGGAAGAGGUAGGUAUCCUUCAGGAAGAGGAGGAUUCCGGAGUGACAGCUUUAGGGUACGUGGGAAUUACAGUGGUGGCCGUAGCUUCGGAAGAAAUGAGUAUGGAAACAGGGGAGAAUUCUCUGGUCGUGGUAGGGGUCCAUCUGGGCGUGGUGGAGAUGGGUAUCAACAAGGGAGAGGUAGAGGAGGCCGUCCAAGUGGCCCAAAGCACAAUGCCAUCUCAGCAUGAAAUGGCAAUCAAGCAGCCAGUGAGAGAUCAAGAAGUGCAGUGCAAGCAAGUAAACAAGUACCUUUCUAGAAUGUUCAUCUUUAAAAAUGCCCUUACUAGUUCACUCAAAUUACGAACAUACCAUUUUCGACACGUGUCUACUCAAAUAGAGCGAGUAGAGAGCUUCCUUUUUUUUAAUAAUUUCUGGCAUCACAAGGAUAAUCUUUGUAAUGUGGACAAGUCUUUUGAAAAGGGAUAACAACAGAAAAGAGCUCGACUCGAAUCCCGAUGCUUUGUUGCCACGUGUUGAGAGGUGGUCUUAUAUCAGAAGCAGUUCUGGAAUCCAAGAAUUAUAAGAGAGAGAGAGAGAGAGAGAUAGAAAGAGAGAGUCGCGGUUUUACGAGGCUGAGAUUUAUGCAACAAGUGGCAGUUAGAAAGGAGUUGGGAAAGGCCACGUGUAUUUUCAGAACCUAAUCCAAUGACUGGGCUUCCCUUUUUUUUUUUUUUUUUUUGGGGCAAAAAUCCAAAAAGCUGACGACGUUUGUUUUUUGGUGUGUGUCUUGAGAUCUGUUUUUCUUCUCCACGUGUUCGUACGGAACGUCUACAUGAACUCCACUUGUCGGUUCCUGAGCUCCCGUUUCUGAAUCACGAGGGUAUUUUGGUUUGCGAGAAAGUUUUUACAGACAAACUGCGAGAAAAUGUAGGAUUUUUGGUGCAGUGUUUGGUGGGAAAGAAAAAGAAAGAAAAUAUUGAAAUUGUUUUUUCGAUGGAAAACAUGGAACUCAUAAGUGCUCAUCUA